CCUGGCGGCCUUAGCGCGGUGGUCCCACCUGACCCCAUGCCGAACUCAGAAGUGAAACGCCGUAGCGCCGAUGGUAGUGUGGGGGUUCCCCAUGCGAGAGUAGGGAACUGCCAGGC
rnacentral:rRNA from 1 species